UACGGGGGGGGGCAAGCGUUGUUCGGAAUUACUGGGCGUAAAGGGUUCGUAGGUGGCCAACUAAGUCAGACGUGAAAUCCCUCAGCUCAACUGGGGAACUGCGUCUGAGACUGGAUGGCUUGAGUGCAGGAGAGGAACGCGGAAUUCCAGGUGUAGCGGUGAAAUUCGUAGAUAUUCGCAAGAACACCAGUGGCGAAGGCGGCUCACUGGCCCAUAACUGACGCUGAGGCACGAAAGCGUGGGGAGCAAACAGG
rnacentral:rRNA from 1 species